AUGGUGGUCCUUAGUGUUAAGAUGCAACGUACAGCAAAGGCGCUCAGAAGCUGGGGUCAGAGGAAACAGAGUUCAAUGUGCAUACAGUUUCAGAUAGCCAACGAGGUGAUUUUGCGAUUGGAUAGCGCACAAGAGGCACGGUCUCUGUCAGAUGAUGAACGACGUUUAAGGGCUUUUUUGAAAGGGAAGUGCCUCGCUCUCGCCUCAUUAGAGCGGGUCCGCUUGCGACAGCGUGCAAAGGUGAGGGAUCUAAAGGAAGGGGAUGCGAACUCCAAGUACAUUCACAUGAAAGCAAAUGGCAGGAGGAGGAAGCACCAAAUCCCCUACCUCAGAGAUGGCCCAAGAACAGUCUCGAGUCUAGAGAAUAAGCUGAGGCUGGCUAGAGAGUUCUACAGUAGUUUGAUGGGUACUCCGGCACAAGUGAGGUCUUUCUUGAAGUUGGACCUUCUUGACAUCAACAGUCUGCCACCGGAUUUGGCCAGUGGUUUGGAAGGUCCGUUCACGGAAAAUGAAGUCAAACAGGUGAUCAUGGACAUGCCCUCGGACAAGGCCCCGGGACCGGACGGCUUUUCGGGCCUUUUCUACAAGGUAUGCUGGGACAUUAUUUCUAAGGAUUUCAUGGAGAUCAUGUUCGAGUUGCACAGGAGCAACUUUGCUUCCUUUGGCAGGCUCAACUCCUCCAUAAUUACCUUAUUGCCCAAGAAAGAAUGUUCUCUGGAAGUAGCGGAUUUUAGACCGUUUAACUUGAUUCAUGGAGUGGCUAAAAUAUUUGCCAAGGUGUUGGCUGUCUGUCUGGCUCCCCUUCUUCUAGCUCUAGUGUCUAAAGUGCAAAACGCUUUGAUUGGCGGCAGGAGUAUGCAUGAGAACUUCAAGUUUGUCUGUAAUACGGCCAAGGUGCUUCACAAGAGGAAAACACCGGUUGUACUAAUGAAGAUUGAUAUAUCUAAAGCAUUUGAUACGCUGUCUUGGGAAUUCAUUAUUCAAAUUUUGAUAAGGAGAGGUUUUCGGCUUCGUUGGUGCUCUUGGAUUUGUGGAUUGUUGCGUACUGCUUCCUCCUCGGUAUUAAUUAAUGGUGAGACUUGCGAGCCCUUCUCCCUGGGUAGCGGCGUGAGACAAGGCGACUCCCUAUCCCCAGCACUCUUCAUUCUGGCCAUGGAUUCCUUGCAAGCUAUGAUUAGUUGGGCGGUUCAAAACAAUAUGUUAUCAAGCUUGGGCCUCAACCCCAAGGUCCCGAGAGCCUCCUUCUUUGCGGAUGAUGCUAUCCUCUUUUUCAAGCCUUGUCCAAGUGAUCUACAGGUGAUCUCAGCCAUUCUCAAGCUCUUUGGUGAAGCUUCAGGCCUCCGUAUCAACUUGUAG
rnacentral:rRNA from 1 species